UAUCUACUCCAUCCGUUCCGAAUUACUUGUCUUGAAUUUGUCUAGAUACGGAUGUAUCUAGCACUCCGUAUCUAGACAAAUCCAAGACAAGUAAUUUGGAACGGAGGGAGUAGUAU
rfam:Triticum aestivum genome assembly, contig: Triticum_aestivum_CS42_TGACv1_scaffold_434587_5DL